rnacentral:tRNA from 1 species
GGCCCUUUAGCUCAGUUGGUUAGUAGCGCACGACUCAUAAUCGUUAGGUCCCCAGUUCGAGUCUGGGAAGGGCCACCA